UUCAAACCGUUGAAUACCUCAUGCUCUCCAGGGAAACCUUCUAUAAACCGGGAUCGGAAUCCUGAACUCUCUCCACAUACAACUCUAAUUGCUGCUUUAGUUCUAAAUCCUCCUCCGACUAUUAACCCACAAUUUUAAUUAUAUUAACAAUUCCAAAGUCAACAAUAAUUUUUUUUUAAAAAAAAGUCAACCAAUUUUCUUGAUUUUCUCAGAGCAACAAAACAAAACUAGGAACUUACGAUAUCCUCAUCCUUCUUAUCGUCCUUCUUCUUAGAGUCCUUUGAAGAAACCUUAACCGAUGCCUCAUCUCGGAUGGCUCCGCUGCCGCUGGCAUUAUUUGGAACCGGUGCCAUGGUGAAUCGAGUACAAGCUAAAACCCUAGAAUCAAAGAGGAGAGAGUUAUUGCAGAGAUAUUAGUAUAUGAGAGUUUCGUUUUCGCCAAGCAAACAAGGCUUUCAAGUCUUUCACUCGUCUGAACGGGGUUAGAGAGGAGAGAGAGCGGUAGACGAAGAGUAACAAGAGAGG
rnacentral:lncRNA from 1 species